UAGUGAUAUAGAUAGCCGAUGUGACAGAAACACUUUGUGAUGGCUACUUCUGAGAUUUUACCCACAAUCUGGUCCACAACAUUCAUUUUAUCUCUCUUCUUAAUUUGUUCUUUUUCUUGCAGUUUCCCAAUAGAACAUACCCUUUCGCAUCAAAGGCAACACACUGUUGACUUAGUCAGCAUAGUCCUCCCAAGUGGUUAAGGAACCAGAUGUAGACGAUCGAUCAUUUGUCCUCGAGCUAUUGUAGGCAGUGACAGUGUCGGCAACUACCCCCAUGUGUUUACUCCCGUCUUCCUCCUGUACAUAUAUGUGUAUAGGGAAACUAAGAGAGAGAGAGAACCAGAGUGAGGGGAGGGUUUUUCAAGUUUGUAUUUGAUUCGAUUAAUACAAGCGGAAUUUUUCCUCAUAUAUGAGUGUGUGGGAUUCCCGGAGCACAACACACACCUCGUCUCUUGGAAGUCGAUCGAACCGUAUCGUGAGAUAUGUAUAGGAAAUGCAAAACAAUAAGUUAAGUACUCCGACAGCUUCUUUUUUUUCCUCUGGCCCUACAGGAUAUUGCAACAUGCAUUACUUUGCAUUUUCUUGAGCAAAGAUGCAGAGGUUGAAUACGUCUACUGGGUAGCACCACAACAUAAUAAUGCAAAAAAGAAGAAGAAAGAAGUAACUUAACGCAGAAAAUUUGGAUAGGUUGCGAGAUUCACAAGAUAUCGAUCAACACAACUAAGAAGAAUAUCCUUUCUUUAAAAGACAACGCAGGACUCCUUUAAGAAAAGCUUGAUUUGUCAUGUAGCAUGUGAUUGUGAGUAAAAUCCCGUUUUUUAUUAUUAUUUACAAUAAUAAGAUUAUUGAUUAAGUUUGUUUUUAUAUAUAUAUAUAUAUAUAUCCAGAUCCUAUCAGGGAUCCCGGAUUUUAACACAAAAUCCGGAUCUUGAUCUUAGCCGUUCGAUUAUGUUUUUAAUGGUCCAGAUCCGCGUACGUUUUCUUACCGCUA